UAGGGGGCCUUUAUCCAUGCAAGUCGAACGGCAGUUGAGCAGCAAUGCUUGAUGAGAGUGGCUUUCGAGAUUCGCUCCCUGUCACCAGGUGGCUACCUUUAACAGGGGCCAUGAUAGCCCGUGAGAAAUUCUGGAUUAAUACCCCGUAGUAAUUAUCAGUGGCAUCACUGAUAGUUUAAAGCUGAGGCGGUUAGAGAUGGGCAUGCGUUCCAUUAGCUAGUUGGUGAGGUAAUGGCUCACCAAGGCUACGAUGGAUAGGGGACCUGAGAGGGCGAUCCCCCACACUGGCUACUUAGAACCACGGACCAGACUCCUCAACGGGAGGCAGCAGUAAGGAAUAUUGGGCAAUGGCCGCAAGGCUUCAAGACCCAGCCAUGCCGCGUGCAGGAAGACGGCCUUAUGGGUUGUAAACUGCUUUUGUCAGGGCCCAUUAAAUCCUUAUACUUGUAUAAGGUUGAAAGUACCUGAAGAAUAAGCAUCGGCUAACUCCGUGCCAGCAGCCGCGGUAUAUACGGAGGAUGACGAGUGAUUAUCGGGAUUCAUCGUGGGUUUAAAGGGUGCGCAGGCGGGCUAAUAAGUCAGGGGUGAAAUUCCACGGCUCAACUGUGGAACUGCCUUUGAUACUGUUAGUCUUGAGUUUAGUUGAGGUGGGCGGUUAAUGUAGCAUGUAGCGGUCCGAAAUGCAUAGCUAUGCUACAGAACACCGAUAGCGAAGGCAGCUCACCAAGUUAUAACUGACGCUCAUGCACGAAAGCGUGCCCUUAAAAUCAAACAAAAUUAGAUAACGCCCUGGUAGUCCACGCUGUAAACGAUGAUCACUCGUUGUUGGCCGAUAUAAAGUCAGCGGCUAAGCGCAAAGUGAUAAGUGAUCCACCUGGGGAGUACCUGAUCGCAGCAGGUUGAAACUCAAAGGAAUUGACGGGGGCCCGCACAAGCGGUGGAGCAGCCUUGUGGUUAUAAUUCGAUGAUACGCGAGGAUACCUUACCUGGGCUUGAACGUGUCUUGAUGUUAUUGGGAGAAAUCUCAAGUCCCUUCGGGGCGUUGAGCGAGGUGCUGCAUGGUUGUCGUCAGCUCGUGCCGUGAGGUGUCGGGUUAAGUGCCCAUAACGAGCGCAACCCUUAUCAUUAGUUGCCAUCAGGUAAAGCUGGGGACUCUAGUCCGAAACUGCCUACGCAAGUAGAGAGGAAGGUGGGGAUGACGUACAAAUCAGCACGGCCCUUACGUCCAGGGCUACACACGUUGCUACUUAAUGGCCGGUACAGAGGGCAGCCACCUGGUGUACAGGGAGCGAAUCUCGAAAGCCGGUCUCAGUUCGGAUCGAAGUCUCGCAACCGCGACUUCGUGAAGCUGGAAUCGCUAGUAAUCGCGCAUCAGCCAUGGCGCGGUGAAUACGUUCCCGGGCCUUGUACACACCGCCCGUCCGAAGCCAUGGGAGCCGGGGGUACCUGAAGUCGGUAACCGCGUAUAAAGGAGCCG
rnacentral:rRNA from 1 species